GAUGAACGCUGGCGGUAUGCUUAACACAUGCAAGUCGAACGGACUCUUCGGAGCUAGUGGCGGACGGGUGAGUAACGCGUGAGAAUCUGGCUUUGGGUUCGGGACAACCACUGGAAACGGUGGCUAAUACCGGAUGUGCCGAGAGGUAAAAGAGAAAUUGCCUGAAGAUGAGCUCGCGUCUGAUUAGCUAGUUGGUGAGGUAAAGGCUCACCAAGGCAGCGAUCAGUAGCUGGUCUGAGAGGAUGACCAGCCACACUGGGACUGAGACACGGCCCAGACUCCUACGGGAGGCAGCAGUGGGGAAUUGUCCGCAAUGGGCGAAAGCCUGACGGAGCAAUACCGCGUGAGGGAAGAAGGCUCUUGGGUUGUAAACCUCUUUUCUUAGGGAAGAACAAAAUGACGGUACCUAAGGAAUCAGCAUCGGCUAACUCCGUG
rnacentral:rRNA from 1 species